GAUGAACGCUGGCGGCGUGCCUAAUACAUGCAAGUCGAGCGAACAGACGAGGAGCUUGCUCCUCUGACGUUAGCGGCGGACGGGUGAGUAACACGUGGAUAACCUACCUAUAAGACUGGGAUAACUUCGGGAAACCGGAGCUAAUACCGGAUAAUAUAUUGAACCGCGUGGUUCAAUAGUGAAAGACGGUUUUGCUGUCACUUAUAGAUGGAUCCGCGCCGCAUUAGCUAGUUGGUAAGGUAACGGCUUACCAAGGCGACGAUGCGUAGCCGACCUGAGAGGGUGAUCGGCCACACUGGAACUGAGACACGGUCCAGACUCCUACGGGAGGCAGCAGUAGGGAAUCUUCCGCAAUGGGCGAAAGCUUGACGGAGCAACGCCGCGUGAGUGAUGAAGGUCUUCGGAUCGUAAAACUCUGUUAUUAGGGAAGAACAAAUGUGUAAGUAACUAUGCACGUCUUGACGGUACCUAAUCAGAAAGCCACGGCUAACUACGUG
rnacentral:rRNA from 1 species